rnacentral:misc_RNA from 1 species
UCCUGCUUUGUACAGGCAGUCUGUUUAGAGUGCCCAGCAUUACCUGGUAGCAACUAAACACAGGGGUUGCGUUCGUUGCGGGACUUAACCCAACACCUCACGGCACGAACUGACGACAGCCAUGCAGCACCUGUGCAGCACCCUCGAAGGAAUCCGCCUUUCGACGGACGUGCAGCUGCAUGUCAAGCCCUGGUAAGGUUCUUCGCGUUGCAUCGAAUUGAGCCACAUGCUCCUCCGCUUGUGCGGGCCCCCGUCAAUUUCUUUGAGUUUUAGUCUUGCGACCGUACUCCCCAGGCGGUGCACUUAACGCGUUAGCUCCGGCACGGAAGGGGUCAAUUCCUCCCACACCAAGUGCACACCGUUUACGGCUGGGACUAC